UUUAAAUGUAGAAACUAAUUUUUCUGUAUUUUUAACUCCGAAAAUUAAAAUUUCUGUAGUUUUAUAUGCAGAAAAUAUAAUUUACUGUUUUUUCUUAAUCCAAAAAAUAUAUUUUUCUGUUUUGAAGUGCAGAAAUUUAAUUCUCAGAAUUUAAAGUGCAGAAAAAAUGAAUGAUAUAAUGCAAACACAAUAAUAAAGAUUCCUAGAUAUGCAGGACUUAUUUGCUCUAAUAUCACUUUGGUGCAACCUAUAAUCGAUUACUACAAGUGUAGAUUGAUUUCAUAAUAAUCAAUUAUGGUGCGAUUGAUUAGACACUUCAGCAAAUACUUAUCAUCCCAAAAGAUCAUCAUAAAGGUAUAUGAAUACAAAACAGAACAUGAUAGAUAUCUUAUUAAUGAAACCUAAUCAAUAAAAUAUAACUUGUGCAACAAACUGAAAAUAAUCGCAAUAGAACAAUAAAAAAAAUACUGCCAGUAAACUCGGAUUCCAAGGAUGUGAUAGAUGGCAACAAUGGUAAUAAUAAUGGGUGGAGAUAAUGAUUGAUGAACGAAGAAACAAAGGUUGGGCAAAAGAUGGCGAUAGAACUAGUCGGAUAAUUACUUCUGCGAGUUUGGUCCCUCCAAUCCAAUGAGAAUCUUUAGGCCGCGCUCCACCAAGGUAUCGAGAUGAAGGAUGACGGGGUCAAGAAGGUGGCUCCAAGAAGAAAUAGGUCAAGAAGCAGGAU
rnacentral:lncRNA from 1 species